GCACGUGCACGGUGAAAACAUUUCCCGAUCAUCAAGGACGUCCGGAAUCAAUUACUUUUUAAUGGAUACAUAGGCCGGGGGAGGGCAUUUACCAAUACCUUGAAAGGUCGAUAACUAAUACUUAAAAGAGAGGGGGUUUGCUAACGAAGUCAUUUGUCUCUUUGCUAACAAGAGUCGCUUGAUGAUUGCAAGGACUCUCGAGGGGCUUCACUAGCUGUCCGUGUUUGUUCGGAUACGGUUGUCGUCCAGGAUGGCCGGACCACAGCAGUUGGCAAUCGAAGAUAUUAACAGUAUUGUCAGAUAUUUAGCUGGUCGCUUUCCAGAGACGACCAGCGCAACGGACAACAACGGCCGAACUCCGAUGCACUACGCGGCUACGUUGAAGGACAACGGACACUUCUACAACUUGCUGAAUCACUUGGGGGCAAAUCCAAAGGCGGAGGAUAAUUUGAAUCAUCCAGCCGAGUAUUACCUGAACCACGACGAAACCAAGGAUCUACUGUCUCACCGUCAGCUACUGCAGGACUAUGGCGCCGAAGAGGAUCUCGCCGAUGACAUGCUCAACGAUCAAGUGCCCGACGAUCUGCACAGUGCCCGCCGGGAGUUGGACGAUGUGGACACGCUGACGACGCUGGAGCGUUGCUUUAAGAUUAUCCACGAACCGGUCGCCGACCUGCUGAAGACGGUAACCCUUCCGAGCAAUAGUGUCCCCGGCAGUGCUUCCUCGUUGCGAGUGCUGGUUACUUCCUAUUUGGCGCGAUUCCUGAAGAGGAGUGUUUUCGAUACAAUCAAGAAACGGCAAACUAAGCUUGAUCACAAUCUGUUCGAUGUGAUUUGGCCUGCGAUGAAGAAGGUGACCAAGGAGCGGAAAAUCGAUGAAGAUUUAAACGCGGGAGUCGUGAUACCAGACUACGAUGUGUUUGUGGUAUUUCAAGAGUUUCUUGUCCCGUUGAUCCAGGAUAUGCACUGCAUGGAAGUGCAGCCGAAUUUUGACCCACAUCCGCCGAUGCAAUUCUUCCCACGGUAUGUGAUGACCGAAACUCAAAAUGAAACGCACGAGAGUAACGGUAACGUUCUCCGUGAGAAUCCCAACGAGAUCCAGCUGAAUCUGGACACUUCCGGGCGGUUCAUCACCGGAGCGGUUGUCGAGUGCUGUCGGAACUUGGACGCUUUUGAGUUUCCGCUGAACCUCAGCAUAGCACAACUGGAGCGGGCAGAACGUAUUCUAACGUCCAAGAUUUUGUCGAUGCUAUUUGCCAACGCCAUAGGCGAGGAAGAGCUGGGGACGUACUACACAAUGAACGAAAUUCUCGAGAGCCAAUCCGAGAUACGAACGAUUCUCGCUACUAGCGGACUGUUGAUUCCCAUGUUGGACCAUUCAGAUCCAUACCAAACGGCGGAAUCCAUCGCACUCAACGGCCGGUACUGGCCGUACGGCCGAGGAGUCUACGUCAGUCACAACCAAGAUCUAGUAGCGUGGAUCAACGCACAGGAGCACCUGCGAGUAAUGUGCUGUACGAGCUCGAAAAAUCCAGCGGACAUCGGAAUCGCAUAUUCCAAAAUUGGUCGCGCCAUGAACUUCCUCGAGGACAAAAUUCAGUUCAAGCACAGCUACUUCCUUGGAUAUCUAACGUCGCGACCUUCCUAUCUCGGCACCGGACUCAAAAUCACGCUCACCCUGGAGCUCCCCCACCUUAACAAGGAAAAGGAAAACCUGCGCCAUCUCUCCCAGGUUCGUGGACUGUACCUCCUAACUUCCUCCGAUAACCAGCAAUCCGUCCGGAUGAGCAAUACGCGCAGCCUCUCCCAGUGCGAGUGGCAAAUCUUCCAGGAUUACACCGGUGCCAUAACCAACAUCGUUGCGCUGGAGAAAGAUCUGUUGAUGUCCAACUCGAUGCACAUUGCCGCCACGUUGUUGAAAAUAUUUCGUAAGAAAAAGAAUAGCUUAGUGGAGGCGGCGGCCAUCCAUUAGAAAACAACCCCCUUCAUCCACAUCGCCGUUCAUCGUUCAGCACUUAGAGAGACGUAGAACCUGCAGCAUCCAGUGAAAUUCGGUGUUCAUGACUAGCCGACAGUGUGUGUAACCUCAAUUUCAUCUCAGCAACAACAGUUCCUGCAGAAUACCUUUAACUUUAUACGACUAACCCCGUUAGACUUAUCUUAAAUAGCUUAGCAAGUAGUGAGAGCGAGAGCUUAGAGAGAGCAAGUGUUGGAAAGAUUUUCACCGGACGUGCAACGGAAUUGAGUGACGCACAGGUUGAGAUACCAUUGUUUCGAACCGAAGAGGGCAGAUAUCUAGCGACAU
rnacentral:misc_RNA from 1 species